rnacentral:rRNA from 1 species
GAACGCUGGGGCGUGUUACACAUGCAGUCUAACGAUGAAAGCAGGAGCUUGCUUUUGCUGGAUUAGUGGCGAACGGGUGAGUAACACGUGAGUAACUGCCCUUGACUCUGGGAUAAGCGUUGGAAACGACGUCUAAUACCGGAUACGAGCUACGACCGCAUGGUCACUAGUUGGAAAGAAUUUCGGUCAAGGAUGGACUCGCGGCCUAUCAGCUAGUUGGUGAGGUAACGGCCCACCAAGGCGACGACGGGUAGCCGGCCUGAGAGGGUGACCGGCCACACUGGGACUGAGACACGGCCCAGACUCCUACGGGAGGCAGCAGUGGGGAAUAUUGCACAAUGGGCGCAAGCCUGAUGCAGCAACGCCGCGUGAGGGACGACGGCCUUCGGGUUGUAAACCUCUUUUAGCAGGGAAGAAGCGACAGUGACGGUACCUGCAGCAAAAAGCACCGGCUAACUACGUGCCAGCAGCCGCGGUAAUACGCUAGGGUGCAAGCGUUGUCCGGAAUUAUUGGGCGUACAGAGCUCGUACGCGGUUUGUCGCGUCUGCUGUGAACAUCCGAGGCUCAACCUCGGACCUGCAGAUGGGUACCGGCACACUACAGUGCGGCAGGGGAGAUUGGACUUCCUGCUGUAGCCUGGAAUGCCACAUUUACGAGACCACCAUGGCGAAGGCGAUCUCUGAGCCGAACUGACCUAGGAC